rnacentral:rRNA from 1 species
GUCUUUUUGUUAAAAAUUUAAAGUCGGGCCUGCCCACUGAAAUUUUUAAAUGGCCGUGGUAUUUUGACCGUGCUAAGGUAGCAUAAUCAUUAGUUUUUUAAUUGAAAGCUGGAAUGAAGGGUUUGAUAAAAAAAUGACUGUCUCUAUUUAAUUUAUUAAAACUUUAUUUUUAAGUUCAAAAGCUUAAUUUGUAUUAAAAGACGAGAAGACCCUAUAGAGUUUAAUAAUAAAAGAUAAUUUUUAUUUUAGAAUUAAAUUAUUUAUUAUUUUAUAUUAUUUAGUUGGGGUGAUUGAAAAAUUUAAUUAACUUUUUUUAUAUUUUACCAUUAAUUUGUGAAUAUUUGAUCCAAAUUUUUUGAUUAUAAGAUAAAAUUACCUUAGGGAUAACAGCGUAAUUUUUUUAGAAAGUUCAAAUUAAAAAAAAAGAUUGCGACCUCGAUGUUGGAUUAAAAUUUAAUUUUGGUGUAGAAGCUAAAAAGUUUAAGUCUGUUCGACUUUUAAAAUUUUACA